AUCCCAUAUCAAUAUGUUUAAUAGACGAUGUAACGACCCCGAAAAUUUAAAAUGAAAUAUGUGUAUUAAAAAUGUCAAAUGCGGAAGCGUAAUAAAAAUUUUGAUUAACAUCCCUUACACUAAAACCAAAAACGUGCUCAAAGUAUAAAAGAACGAACUAACAAAAAGGGAAACUCGAAAAUAAAAACUAUAAAUAUAACUACGGAGUCUUUAGGCGUCCC
rnacentral:lncRNA from 1 species